GAAUCAUAAAAACGUGAAUGGAACCGAAACGGUUGAAAAUAGCAACAUAGAAAAUCUAAAAUUUCUCGAGCAAGAGGUUUUUCAGAUUCAAAAUAAAUGCGAAGAAAAGUUAUCAAUGCUUAAAAUCAGUUUGGAUGAUUUUAAUGAAGAGAAAUUGGAAAUUUUACAAGAUUUAAGAGAGCGGGUAGAGUAUUCGUACAUAAACAUAUAUUUAUAUACAAACCCCUGCAAAUGUAUUAUAUAAUGUGGAGAGAGAGGGAAGAGGAAGGAAGAGCUGGGGAUUUUUCUCCGUAUCCACAGAAAACUUAAGGGCCCCAUAGUCUACCCUAUAAAAUUAAUGUUAUUUUUACUAACAGAUGCGCUUAUUUAUUCUAUCGAAAUAUUUAUUUUACAGGUGAAAAUGUUAUCUUUGAGAAUGCAUCGUCUAGAAAUGAGGAAAGCG